GGCGUGGUGGCAGAGUGGUCUAAUGCGCAAGACUAGGGAUCUUGUUCCUUCGGGAGCGUCGGUUUAAAUCUAGCCUAUGUCG